ACUUAUUGGUUCAGGUAAUCUCCUUUUAAGUUGCUGGGGUUAUUGUUGGGUAUGGACUCAUGCAACGUUAGUGCUUGGUUGAGAUGAGAUCUUUGGCUAAUUGGGCAUUUUGAGCACCUCCACAUACGAGCUGGGUCUCAGCAUCGUAAUUUAAUCAUAUAUGUCGGCACAAAAGCCCUUGAGAAACUUCUUACCUUUUAAGCCCUCAAGGGUGACCAUUAGAGGGGCAAAUCUAGACAAUUGAACAAAACGGGCUGCAUAGUGGACAACCAUCAGACUCCCUUAGCAAAGGUCCUGAAAUUCCUCCUUUUUCUUUUUCCGAACAUAGACAGGGAAGAAGUUAUCAAAG
rnacentral:lncRNA from 1 species